GGUGACACAAACUUUCACUGGCUCUUGGGCUUACACAUCUGGGACAUUCUGUCUUCCCUCUGUCACACUGUCAUGGCGGCUCCUACCCAACUGCUAGGACCAGGGAGAAGACAGGGUCUGGAUAUUACCCCCGAACAUCACGGACAGGCAGAUGUAGCAAGAAUGAUGCUGGAGAUCUGGAUCCUGCCUUUUCUGCGUACAAGGCAAGCACUUUACUGACUGAGCCAUCUCUCAAGUCUUCCCAAUUUCAAAUCCAGCCUUAUAAUUAGCAUUGGAAAUGCACUCCUAGGGCACUUGGAUGCUCCUUCUCCACCCAGUGCUGUUCUGACAAAGCUACUUAAGAAGAGAUCUCUUCUGGCUUACGGUUCAAGGGUAUCGUUCUGCCAUUGUCGGAACAUGGUCCAAGAAUGGAGUUGUGUGAGGGGAUUUCUGAAUGCUCGGAGAAAACUCCAAGAAGCCAAGAGUUUUGUGACCUCAGUUUCUUAACAGAAUUGUUCUUGGAAUCUGUUUUUCUGUCCCUCUCAGGUGUAGUGGUUAGGAGUGAGUUUACUUCAGAUUACUUGUUACAACUGGUGAUUGUUCUUGGUUUCUAUGCCUCUACUGAGACACAUGUCUCUGUCACACGUAGCCUGUCACUUGAAGCUUGCCCUUGUGAUUGCAAAAACCAUCUGAUGCUCUGAAUAAAGUUGGCCAUUGCGUG
rnacentral:lncRNA from 1 species